rnacentral:lncRNA from 1 species
GGCGUAGGCCAGCAGCUACAGCUCCGAUUCGACCCCUAGCCUGGGAACCUCCAUAUGCCACAGGAGCGGCCCAAGAAAUGGCAAAAAGGCAAAAAGCCAAAAAAAAAAAAAAAAAAAAAAAAAAAAGGAAUCAAUUUACUUUUUAUUUGUUCCUUUUUUUGCCUUGGCUUUUGUAAGAAUUUAUUUCUGCUACACAGACCUAGAUCUGUCAUAUUAUAAAGGAAAAUUCUAAAGAAUCAUUUAAAAUAAAAUUCUCAUGGCACAUCUUAAGUAAAAGUUUCAAAUUUUAAAAGAGAAUUACAAUUCCUGUUUAAAAAAUGACCAAAAAAUCUUAUCUCUAUAACCAGGACCAGCUCUGUAAUUUUUGAGGUUUAAUGCAAAAGAAAAUGGAGAGUGUCUUAUUCACAAUUUAUAACAAAUUCCAAGACACCAACAACAAAACAUUAAGCCCAGGUCAAUGUUCUUCCAGGCACAGGCCCAGGAAACAGAUGCAUGAAAUCAUCCCCAUCCCAAACCCUGAUGGUCUGUAUUAUUUGUAAAGGAAAUUAAUUUUGAUGAGUUGGGGAAGACCCUAGUUAAAGUUCUAUGCAUGAAGCAUAUACCUUCUGGGACAUUCUAUGCUCAUAUAUGUAAUUAUGGGCUUGUGCACAUUUAUCAAUAUGUCUGCUCUGUUUUAUGAAGAAAAUAAAAGAUGCAAAAAUACAGAAUUUGGUACAGGGACAGACUUUUUCACCCAGAACAUUGUGUCUUAGCAGAGCACUCAAAGGCACAGCCUCACAUGCAGCAUUUAAUCUGAGGUUCAGAGGAGAUGGAGUGAUCAUCUGGUUUUUCUUAGGUUGGAGAUUUGACCAGAGGAAAGGGAGUCAUUGUGAACCCAUAUUGCCCCAACCCACCCACCAUGAGGCUUCACAGUAUUGUGAAACCCAUGGACUGGGAAACAGCUGGCCUGGGACACUCCAUAAUACACAUUUAUGUGAGUUAGCUUGGGUUCCUGAUUGUUGUUGCGCCACCUAACUUAUACUCCUCAUCCUUUUCCUUUGCCACAAGGAGGAUCAGGCUGACAUAAUGUAGGCUCUGGAACUAGCAGUUUAUCUCCCUCUCCUCCUCUCUCUAUCUACCCCAAUCCUUUCUUUCUGUCUGUAUGUCCCUCCCUCCAUCUCCCUGUCUCUCUUACUCUUUCUUUAUCUCUCUUCAUCUCUUUAUAGAGUACAUAUUUGAGAUUUGGAUUGCCAUGUUUCAUUCUCGAGAGAUGGGAAGAAUAGUUAUAAAUUUUCUUACAUGAGAAGUGGUAAUUUUAUAUUUACGUGUGUGUGUGUGUAUAUAUAUAUAUAUAAUGUGUGUAUGUGUAUAUGUGUAUAUAUGUGUGUGUGUAUAUAUAUGUAUAUAUGAAGUUUAUUGGUUUGCAUUCACUCCAGGCAUUUGACUAUUUUAAAGUUUAUCUGCUCUUAAUCAGUUGUGGCAGCAUAUUGGAAGAGUUAAUUUUUUUAUAUGUGUCACAUCAAUCAAACAUUUAGGAUCCUUGGGGCACCUUCUUACAAAGACCCCAUAAGCAAGUUUGAGGCUUUUUUCCAGUACUUACUUGGCAUUCCUUGGGAGUGAGUUCUGAUUAGAAAAAUAUCUAUCCCUUUUCUUUCUCUUUAAUUAGUAAAACUCUUCAGUCUUAAAAAGAUGUUUUUGGAAUAACUGAAAUAGAAAAUAAAAUUUCUAGAAAUAGAGGUAUGAUAUGUACAAAAUAAGGAGCACAAAUCUGUCAUUUAAAAAACCCACCAGUUUUUAAGAAGCAUAUGUAUUUUUUAGUGUGGUAUUCUGGGUGGAAAAUCUACAGUAGUUGAUAUUUAUGUGACAUUUUCUCAUUAAACUUGCAAUGGAAGGAAUUAUUAUUCCAAUUUCUCUUGAUAAUACUCUUUGAGCAAAAAUAUAAUAUUCAAACUCAUAUAUCCAUAACUUUUUUUGUCUACUUGACAUGAAUUUAAAGACUCAAUUUUCUACUAACUUCAUUCAUGUUUGUUAAAAUAAGAAUGAGCCUUCCUAAUUGCUUCUCGCUAUUAGCACCUCAGUUUGUGGGGCUCUCAUCACCUGUGAAUCAUGAUAUCAUGCUGUGUGGCAUGUUUCCCAGAAAUGCUCAGACAAACAUUUUCUUACUGUCCUUGUUCUCAGUUUACUAUUUCAAGCUUGGUUGUUAAGGUUGAAGCACCUGGUCUAUCUGGACUAAGCCUCAGUGGUUUGCUGGAAGUUUGCAGAGCACCAAAUCCAAUUGGCAAAGAGGGGGAAGCUCAUCCCUAUAGCACCUGGAUGUCAUCCUGGAUGCAGAUUCUUGGGAAGUCUCCACCUCAGCUAUCCAGACACUAGUGCACAUACAAAUAAUCUAGAAGCUUGUUAAAAUACAGGUUCUCAUUCUGCAGCUCGAGAAGAGAUUGAGACUCUAUAUUUCUAGCAAGUUCUUGAGCACUUUUAAUGGUUCCACUUAGUGCAAAUCCUUUUGGGUAGCAAGCCAUCCACUUCUAUUAUGUAUUUAUGGGAGGAAACAAUACUCACAAUUCAAAUCUGUAACACAUGUCCCACUCUUUUCUUAUUCCAUCUUUACUUAAUUAUAAGGAUGAUGUUUGUUCAUCUCUUUGGUUUCUUCCCUCACUUGAUACUAAGUGGAAUGAUGAUGUGGAUGGAUAGUUUUCUUGUUUAUGGGCUUAGGUUAUAGGUAUAUCAUGGUGUGAGAUGGAAAUUUAAUCCACCUGCAAUAUGAUGCCUGUGUGUGCUUUGAGGAACCAUGGCACUUUUCAGUGUUAUUUUUGGUGGCUAAGGAAAAAUAUCAUAGAGUAAGAUGGAUCAUUUAUUUGCCCAUAUGUUUAUUUAUGGGUACUUCUCCCCUUUACAUUGUCUGGUGAUAAACAUGCAGUGUUUAAAAAUGCAGUUAGAAAUAACUAUUAAAAAUUUAAAAAUAAAUAAAAUUUUAAAAAUUAAAAAAAAAUGCAAUUAGAAAAUGGCAGCAUUGAGUAGGUAGUACUCUUUGGAGUCAGGUUUAAGGAGAAAUGGAAUAUAUAGAGGGAGGGGAAAGAGCUAAAGUGGAUGACCAGAAGAAUGAUUGAAUCCAACUCUGUUUCUUGGGUUCUUGCACAGCCUGCUGGGUUUUAGAAGAUGUCAAACAGCUCUUUCAGCUUUCAAUAUGCUUUUCCCCACAGUGUUCAGGAAUAGUUCAUGAGGCCAGGUAAGAAAAUGACCCAAGACUGUGUCUCCACUCCCCUCUCUCUUCUAGCUGGGAAGAUUGCUCUUCCCCCUUCAUCCUUGAGCAAAAGCCAACCUGCAAACACUCUCACUCCUUUUCCUUUCAAAUCACUCAAAUUUUCUGAAUCUCCACAGUGAACAUGUUCUGGAUUUCAGCCAAAGACCUCAUUUCAAGAGAGAAAAAGUAUUCCAGACUUUUUUUAAAGAAAAAGUAACAACCUCAUGCUUAAGAAAAACCACUCUGAGCACUUGUUACAGAAUGGUAAAGCACAUUUUCUUUAGGACUAUUGCAGUAUAUGUAGGGGCCACUGAAGUAGGGUCUGAACACAGCAUGCAAAGUGGAGGUUUGUAGCCAUGAAGCAGGUGAAGAACAGUGGGUGGAAAAUUGCUAAGAGGAAGUGUCAGGAGUGAGAGGUUUCUGGCCAAACCAACCUUAUAGAGGGGGCACUUGCUGAAGGCAGUCCGGUGUGAUUAGGUCAUCACCUUGGGGUUGGUUGGCAGUGAGAAACCUGAUCAGUUAUAGAAGGUUAUUCAAGUAUCAAGGAUGAAGGAAGCCUGAGUAGCAUGCGAUCCAAGAGAGAAUCUUUAUGAUGCUUCUACUCAGAGAACACUGCCCCCUUGCAUUUUAAUACAUUAGUGACUGUAUUAUAUGUAUCAUUUUAUAUUCUGACUUUUCAUUCGAUACUUUAUAGUGACCAUUUUUCUAGGUUUAAAAAAAACCUUUAAAAUAUCCAUUUUAUAAUAUUUAACCAUCUAUAUUAAGCUUUGGAGCAAAACACCUUGCAGAAGGUGGCAUAGGCUUCAUUCAGUGAAUGGCCAGCCUGAGGUUGGGAUCUGUCCCGUGGAAAGGGCUUCUAGUUUCCAAUCACGUUAGGAUGCUAUAGACUAGCAGGAGCCUAAUAUAGAAAGAUUGAGAUCGAGAUUAUACCUCUGUCUGUCCAUCCAUCCAUCAUAAAUCCACCUACCCAUCUACCAGUAUCACGAUCCAUCCAUCCAUCCAUCCAUCCAUCCAUCCACUCACCCAUCCAUCUAUCCAUCUUUGCAACCAUCUGUAUAUUUGCUAAUGGGCCUUUCUUUAAGACAACAUAGUAGAAGGAAGGGGAAACACUGAUUAACAACCUUUUUAAGGUAACUAAUGAGUAUUGGAAAAUUGCUCUGCAGAAAUCUGUGCUAAUUUAUGCUCACUCCAAUUGUCCUGCUACAGCUUGAAGUAUUAUGAUAGAUUUUCGUCUUUGCUCAUUUGCUAGAGGGGGAAGUGCUGUUUAAUUUUCAGCUCUUUGAUUGCUAGGGAGGUUGUAUAAUUUUGUGUUUACUAAUCACUUGAAAUUACACCAUUAUGAAUUUUCUAUUCUGUCCUUAACCCUAAAGCAUUCCCAUAUUGUGGUGUUUAUAAAAACUUGCAAUUUUAUUAUCUAAUUUUCUUGAAAAAUCACAAUUCUUUCCAUUCAAGAUUUUUAAAAUCUAUUAUUCUGAGAAGCAUAUCUAAUUUGUAGACUCAUGUUAAUAAAGACUGUUGUAAUUCUUACAGCAUUUUGAAAAGUCAUAAUGAUGCAAAAAUUUUGCCUGUGUAUGUGAGUUAUUUUUCUUCUUUGCUUUCUGGGAGGCUGAAGGGUAAAAACAAGGGGCAAACAAAUUUGUCAUAUUUGUUUAGAAGACUGUUUUGUAUUUUAAUCCCUUUGACAACUUGAGUUGUUUUGUCAAUUGAUAGAGUUGUAAAGUAGCUUUUGUGGUGAAUGACACCUCAUUUUCUUGCCUUCUAUCUCCGUUUUUUUCUGUUCUUCUUUUAAAAACACCACAGAUUCUACUGAUGUUAGUCUGGAUGGAAGAAACCUUGUUAUUGUUUUCAGAAGUCAAGCACUGAAUUAUUUCUACUUUAUAUAAUGAUCUUCUCAACUUGUGUUUUGGGUAUUUCUUUAGGGCAUGCUCUGUGCCAUCCAUUGAGCUGAGGGCAGGGCAUGCAGUGGUGAGUAGGUGACAUCCCCACCCCUCAACAAGGAGACAGACAGUCAACAGAUACAAUGGGGCUGCAAGAAGCGGCAUAACUGAUGAAAUUGCUUUGCCCACAAAGGACCCACUGCUAUGAGAAAGUAUAACAAAAGACACUGAAUAAGGCCAGCAGGGAGAGUUUCCCUGAUAUUCACAAAUGAGAAGUGAAGAUAAGUCAAUUAGACAAGACUUAUUCAUCUUAUAUCUGAAAACUUGGACCCUUAGACCAAUGUCUCAUCACUCCCCUUCUCCAGCCCCUGGCAACCACCAUUCUGCUCUUUGCUGCUGUAACUUCUGUAGUUUUAGUUUCCACAAGGGAGACUCAGUGCACACAGGAUGAUGGAAUUAAUGAUACUGUAUUGCAGACUUGAAAUGUACUUAGAGAGUAGAUCUCGUGUUCUCGCCACACAUGCACCCACAUGCACAUGCUAUGUGAAGUGACUCAUGUGUUAGUGAGUGUGAUUACGAUCAUCACUUGACAUGUUUAUGUAUGUCAUAACAUCACAUUGUUCACCUUGAACAUGGACAAUUUUUAUUUGUUAAUCAUUCUACGAAGCUGGGGAAAAUGUUAGGCUAAAGAGUGAGAGAAAAUAAGUUAGGCCAAUGAGGAUGGACUGAGAUGAGAUUGGUUAGGGCCCUACAAGCUGUAUGAAAGAUGGUGGGCCUUAUUCUCAUGCAGUGGAAAAGCAACGAUAGUGUGGGGAUUGGAAGCCAACAAUCUGGGCUUUAUUUGUUUAUGAAGAUGGAUUGCAUUACUAUCACUUGAUAAAGGAAGUGGCUUGAUGCAAAGACCAGUUAGCAGGUUGUGUCCAUCAACUAGGUGAGUUUGCAUGGGGAUGUUGGUGGGAGAGUUAUGAAUAGAACAGAGGUGAUUUAGAAGGUAUAAUUGUCAGAACCUGGUAGCAUAAACUAAUUUAAUGUUUUCACACAUUUGCAUGAAUAAAUCAACUUCUGUAAUAGAUCCUUGGCCUUCACACACACAACAGGUAAUAGAAAAAAUAUAACUUUUUAAAAAUUUCACUUAUAGGAAAAAAUUAAAUACAAAGACCACAGGAAAAAACAGAUAAAGUAGCAAUAACUGUUUUCAAAUUUUGUUAUGCUGGGAAUAACAUUAGGAGAUCUUCUCUGAAAUGUAUAAGUUUAAUAUUUGUGGAAAGGUACUGAAGAUGGGAUUUCAUAGCUAUCCGCAGGGUUAGGGAGUUUCUUUUUGAGCUAUAAGAUAAAGUAAAAAGGCAUGAGGUGGAGCCACCUAAAGCCCUUGGUGAGUUAGUUUCUGGAUCCUUCCUGCAGGCUUUUAUCAUUUCAUUUCAUUUCAGAUCAUUAGCUAAGAUUUGGAAGUAAGUUCACAAGUGGACCUCACAGUCUGAAGAGAGAAGGGCUGGAUAAGCUGCUAAAUUGUGAUGCUUAUUGUGGGUGGGGAUUUCUAAGUUUUAUGGUUUUUUUUUUUGCUUUUUGUUUUUUUUUUUAAGCGAAGAUGCAGCCACACCACAAGUUCAAAUUGCCCAGGACUCAUUCUAAGGAUCAAAACAGUCUGAGGCUUCCCUGUGAAAGUGCCCCCAGCAGAUGAGGGACAGGUUUCUAGAGGCCAAGUUCCUGAGCAAAGUUUUAAAAUGUAGGCACAUGAAAAUAAGUUGUCAUUAACCCUGUGCUAUGAUAAAAUGACAACAACAAAAACUGACG